GCUAGGGGGGGGAUUCCACUCCUACUGCUCAUUUCGCUGUGAGUUCUAAGAGGGGAAUCAUGUCAAUUUGUUAUAAAUUCGUAGACGGCUAUUGUCCACAUAGAGAUAGUUGCUUCUAUCAGCACUUACAUAUCAAGAGUUUGCUGAGAGACGACAUGAAAUCGAGUAUAAACGGAAAUAUGUGGCCCCUUUCAGCUUAUGGCCCCUUUCAGUUGAAGGGCAAUAUGCCAAACUUUCUUGAGGAUGAGUCAUUCGAGGAAGUCCGGAAGCGGUGCUAUGAGGCUAAGGCACUGUAUCAAGAACAUGAAUUUCACAGGCAGUUCAAUAGCGAUGUUUAGGCGGCCAAAAACAAGAUGCACAACAUGCUGCAAAUGGACAGAAUUACACUUUCCACUAUGAUCACAAUCCUCCAAAAGCCAAUAGAAUUCCAGCCCAUUGAUCCCUUUCCGGCUUCUGAUUUCAGUCCCUUUGUACGUUUUCAACAGAGACAGGCAGCUGGAAUCACUUCUAGUGGAGCCACUGGCCAAAACAACAACAAGUCGACUUACACCCCAGUUCGCUUUGUUUUUGGCGCACGCUAGUGCGCAUCCUGACCGAACCGCGCAGCGCAUUGGUAACGCAGUACAAGACACUGCUGGAUUUGGAUAAUGUGGCCCUGACAUUUACCGAGGAGGCCAUAGAGGCUAUAGCCCAACUGGCGAUGGAGACGAACACGGGAGCUUGGGGAUUGCGCUCCAUUAUGGAGCAAUAGCUGUUGGAUCCCAUGUUCUUAGUGCCCGGCUCAGGCAUUCGAGGGGUUCACAUCACCGCCGAUUAUGUGAAGGGCAAAUCCACACCCGAAUGCAGGAGAGAUACGGACGCCCCAGGUUCCAUGACUAUUCCCCCGACCUCUGAGACCAAAACCAAU